AUGGGAACGCGAAGAACCUUACCUACUCUUGACAUCCAGAGAACUUUCCAGAGAUGGAUUGGUGCCUUCGGGAACUCUGAGACAGGUGGUGCAUGGUUGUCGUCAGCUCGUGUCGUGAGAUGUUGGGUUAAGUCCCGCAACGAGCGCGAACCCUUAUUACUAGUUGCUACCAUUAAGUUGAGCACUCUAGUGAGACUGCCCGGGUUAACCGGGAGGAAGGCGGGGAUGACGUCAAAUCAUCAUGCCCCUUAUGUCUAGGGCAACACACGUGCUACAAUGGUGAGUACAGAUAGAUGCGAUACCGCAAGGUGGAGCCAAACUCUAAAACUCAUCCCAGUUCGGAUUGUAGGCUGCAACUCGCCUACAUGAAGUUGGAGUUGCUAGUAAUCGCGAAUCAGAAUGUCGCGGUGAAUACGUUCCCGGGUCUUGUACACACCGAGUCGUGGGA
rnacentral:rRNA from 1 species